rnacentral:lncRNA from 1 species
CCAUUGCAGUUUUUCUAAGAAUGCUUUACCUAAUGGCCUUUGCCAAAGAUAAUCUUGGUGGGAUUGACAAUCUGGUGAUUUGCUCAUGGGACCCAGCACUGAUCAGAGGGGCUAAUAGAAAAUAUCAGUGCCUCUUCUGCCCUGGAAGAUCCAAAUGAAACCAGAAAUCCUUCCUCUUUUGCCCCCGGAAUCCUGAGAAUCUUCAGGACAUCUGGUUCCUGUCAGUACCUUCCUGGACUCCAGCUCCUACUACACGAAAGUAGUAAGUUUUGUUGUUGUGUCAUUCAGUUGUUUUCAAUUGUGUCUCACUCUUUGUGACUCCAUUUGAGAAUUUCUUGACCAAGAUACUGGAGUGAUUUACCAUUUCCUUCUCCAGCUCAUGUUACAGAUGAGGAAACUGAGGCAAACAGGUUUAAGUGACUAUUCUAGGAUCAUACAGCUAGCAAGAGUCUGA